UGUCGUGAGGCAUGCUGGAGGUAUCAGAAGUGCGAAUGCUGACAUAAGUAACGAUAAAGCGGGUGAAAAGCCCGCUCGCCGGAAGACCAAGGGUUCCUGUCCAACGUUAAUCGGGGCAGGGUGAGUCGACCCCUAAGGCGAGGCCGAAAGGCGUAGUCGAUGGGAAACGGGUUAAUAUUCCCGUACUUGGUGUUACUGCGAAGGGGGGACGGAGAAGGCUAUGUUGGCCGGGCGACGGUUGUCCCGGUUUAAGCGUGUAGGUGUGUGUUCCAGGUAAAUCCGGUUCACUUUAACACUGAGGCGUGAUGACGAGGCACUACGGUGCUGAAGCAACAAAUGCCCUGCUUCCAGGAAAAGCCUCUAAGCAUCAGGUAACAUCAAAUCGUACCCCAAACCGACACAGGUGGUCAGGUAGAGAAUACCAAGGCGCUUGAGAGAACUCGGGUGAAGGAACUAGGCAAAAUGGUGCCGUAACUUCGGGAGAAGGCACGCUGACAC
rnacentral:rRNA from 2 species